rnacentral:misc_RNA from 1 species
GAUGAAGAACGUAGCAAAAUGCGAUAAGUAAUGUGAAUUGCAGAAUUCAGUGAAUCGUCGAAUCUUUGAACGCACAUUGCGCCCGCCAGUAUUCUGGCGGGCAUGCCUGUUCGAGCGUCAUUUCAACCCUCAAGCCCAGCUUGGUGUUGGGAUCUGUCCUUACCGACAGUCCCCAAAUUGAUUGGCGGUCACGUCGAGCUUCCAUAGCGUAGUAAUUUACACAUCGUUACUGGUAAUCGUCGCGGCCACGCCGUUAAACCCCAACUUCUGAAUGUUGACCUCGGAUCAGGUAGGAAUACCCGCUGAACUUAAGCAUAUCAAUAAGCGGAGGA